rnacentral:rRNA from 1 species
UACGGAGGGUGCGAGCGUUAUCCGGAAUUACUGGGUUUAAAGGGUGCGUAGGCGGCCAGGUAAGUCAGGAGUGAAAGCCCUGGGCUCAACCCAGGAACGGCUUUUGAUACUAGCGGUCUUGAGUUUGGGAGAGGGAAGCGGAAUUCCUGGUGUAGAGGUGAAAUUCGUAGAUAUCAGGAGGAACACCGGCGGCGAAGGCGGCUUCCUGGCCCAAUACUGACGUUCAGGUACGAAAGCGUGGGUAGCAAACAGG